AGGUUAAGCUAAUAAGAGCACACGGAGGAUGCCUAGGCGCCAGGAGCCGACGAAGGACGUGGCGAACAACGAAACUGCCUCGGGGAGCUGUAAGCAAG
rnacentral:rRNA from 1 species